UACGGAGGAUCCAAGCGUUAUCCGGAUUUAUUGGGUUUAAAGGGUGCGUAGGCGGCCUGUUAAGUCAGGGGUGAAAGACGGUAGCUUAACUAUCGCAGUGCCUUUGAUACUGACGGGCUUGAAUGCAGCUGAGGUAGGCGGAAUGUGACAAGUAGCGGUGAAAUGCAUAGAUAUGUCACAGAACACCGAUUGCGAAGGCAGCUUACUAAAGUGUGAUUGACGCUGAGGCACGAAAGCGUGGGGAUCAAACAGG
rnacentral:rRNA from 1 species